rnacentral:rRNA from 1 species
AUGUUUGUCCAGCUUCACCACUUGGUCACUCUGCUCCUGCUCCUGGUGGCCGCCGAUCGCUGCCACCCCGCCACCGGUGGUGGAAGCAGCAGCGGCGAUGACGGUCGGCAGUUCACGUACAACGGCUUCGUGGGUGCGAACCUGACGCUCAAUGGCGGGGCCACCGUCAUGCCGAACGGCCUCCUCAUGCUGACCGAUGGCACCCUUCAGACGAAAGGCCAGGCCUUCCACCCGUCCCCGCUGCCGUUCCACACCGAGGCGAACGGCACCGGCGUCGUGCGGUCCUUCUCGACCACUUUCGUCUUCGCCAUCUUUGGCCCGUACGCCUACCUGAGCAGCCAUGGACUGACCUUCUUCGCCUCAGCGUCCAGGGAGGUGCUCUCCACUGCGCUUCCAGGCCAGUUCUUGGGCCUCCUCAACGGCACCAAUGGCAACCGGAGCGCCCGCAUCUUCGCCGUGGAGCUCGACACGCUCCUCAACGCCGAUUUCCGUGACAUUAACAGCAACCAUGUCGGUGUCGACAUCAAUAGUCUGAUAUCCAUCGAUUCCGCCGACGCCGGAUACUACGAUGAUAGCACAGGUCGGUUCCAGAACCUAAGCCUGAUCAGCCGGAAGGCAAUGCAAGUGUGGGUGGACUACGAUGGCGUGGCCACGGAGAUCACGGUGACCAUGGCUCCCGUGGGCGUGGCCAGGCCCAAGAGGCCGCUCCUGCGGACCACCGUCGACCUCUCGGGUGUGGUGCAGAGCACGGCGUAUGUUGGAUUCUCGUCGGCGACGGGCGUCAUGUCCACACGCCACUUCGUCCUCGGCUGGAGCUUCGCGCUGGACGUGCCAGCCCCGGCGCUGGACAUCUCGGCGCUGCCGGCCUUGCCACGCGCCUGGCCCAAGCCACGCUCGAGGAUCCUGCAGAUUGUGCUGCCUAUAGCGUCGGUGACGCUGGUUUUUGCUGUAGGCAUCGGAGUGUGCAUCUUGGUACGACGGCGUCUCAAGUAUUCCGAACUGCGUGAGGACUGGGAGGACGCGUUCGGCCCCCAACGAUUCUCUUACAAAGAAUUGUUUCAUGCGACCAAGGGGUUCAGCAAUAAGAACCUGCUCGGAGUAGGAGGCUUCGGAAGUGUGUACAGGGGUAGACUCCGCAAGCCUGACAAGGAGAUCGCCGUAAAGAGGGUCUCCCAUGAGUCAAGGCAGGGGAUGAAGGAGUUCGUCGCCGAGGUUGCAAGCAUCGGGCGACUACGGCACCGCAACCUCGUGCCGCUGCUUGGUUACUGCCGGCGCAAGGUGGAGCUUCUCCUGGUUUACGAUUACAUGCCAAACGGAAGCCUUGAUAAAUACUUGUAUGAUGGAUCUUCAGGUACACUGGAUUGGCGUCAAAGGUUUCACAUAAUCAGAGGUGUGGCUUCUGGGUUACUGUAUCUCCAUGAGGAUUGGGAGCAAGUUGUCAUCCACCGAGAUGUGAAAGCGAGCAAUGUUCUCCUAGACAGCGAGAUGAAUGGGCGGUUAGGGGAUUUCGGCCUUGCAAGGCUGUACGAUCAUGGAGCGGACGCCCAUACAACACAUGUGGUUGGCACCAUGGGCUACCUGGCCCCCGAGUUAGGACACAUGUGGUAA